rnacentral:rRNA from 1 species
UACGGGGGGAGCAAGCGUUGUUCGGAUUUACUGGGCGUAAAGGGCGCGUAGGCGGCCACUGCAAGUCAGUUGUGAAAUCUCCGGGCUUAACCCGGAAAGGUCAACUGAUACUGCAGGGCUAGAGUGCAGAAGGGGCAACUGGAAUUCUCGGUGUAGCGGUGAAAUGCGUAGAUAUCGAGAGGAACACCAGUGGCGAAGGCGGUUGCCUGGAGCUUUGCUGACGCUGAUGCGCGAAAGCGUGGGGAGCGAUCCGG